rnacentral:rRNA from 1 species
UACGUAGGGUCCGAGCGUUGUCCGGAAUUAUUGGGCGUAAAGAGCUCGUAGGCGGCCUGUUGCGUCCGCUGUGAAAGCCCGGGGCUUAACCCCGGGUCGGCAGUGGAUACGGGCAGGCUAGAGGUAGGUAGGGGAGAACGGAAUUCCUGGUGUAGCGGUGAAAUGCGCAGAUAUCAGGAGGAACACCGGUGGCGAAGGCGGUUCUCUGGGCCUGUACUGACGCUGAGGAGCGAAAGCGUGGGGAGCGAACAGG